rnacentral:sRNA from 1 species
CAUCAGGUGUCCACAGUUGCAUCUUGUAAUGGCAUCAGACCACGUGGAAAUGUCAUCUCUUGGAUGGAAGAUUCAUUUGUAGCAGACGAUGGAGUGAUUGUUGGAAUUUCCCACAUGUGUAGUUUAUAAGACUUUACUGAGUACCUGAAAGUUCCAAUUAUCUCGUUAAGAGAUGUAAAAAUAGUUUAUCAGUUUUGAACUUACAAAACUGCAAACGGCUAUAGGUAUGCAUUUAUACUUUUCAUUAUUUUAGUUUUCAAGUCUUAUUAUUUUACAUUGAAAUAAAUUAGCCAUACAAGCAAAUGGGUUUGAUGAAUGAUUAAAUAAUUGUAAAUAUCACUGUGGUGAAGUACUAAAAUAAUCUAAAUUUAAAACUUGAUUAUCAGUGUGAACCUAUCUAGAAAUACUCUGUUUAGACUCUAUCUUUUUUUUAAACAAGCUGCAUCUGUCUUGUUCCUACAUGUUAUUAAAUUCAAACCUCGAUCCAAGAAGAUCGGGAACAUGCUUUUUUGAGUUUUAUAAAAAUAAUAUGAAAAUCUUCAACUAUAACAAAAAUUAUGUUAUCAAGAGCCUUUUUUUUAUUUCAAAUUUAAUUAUUUGAUCAGAAGACGACCCUGACCUAUAUACUCUUAAAUGACGCUUAUCUAUAUGUAUAGCUAGUUUAGUUUGAUCAGAAGAC